ACAGCGACCCGCAGGAUCACCUUACGACACCGGACCGCCAGCCGUAUCAACACUGCCGAGCGAUGAUCUGCAGCGUCAGCAAGCGAGCGAUAGUAACAUUAAUAAACUAACAAGCGUCUAAAAGGCGAAUAAACGUCACGAGUCGGAGAAGGCACUGUUGAUUUGUUGUAAGUAGAGGACAAUACUCCAUCCGAGCUGACGACGAUGCGCCAUUGUGUUAUUCGAAAGCGCAGUUAUAUCAUCAAACAAGAUGACCCAGAAAACGACACGAUGCAACAGCUUCAAUAGGAACUCACCAGUGGAACUUUUGCUUAGACCUAACGUCACGGACGAACGGUUGUUCGCACUCGAAAUCGACUUUUCCGUUACGGAAGAAGUAGUACUCGACGUGGAAGAUCCGCCACGGCUUAAUUUGCCUACGACGCAUUUUUGUAAAAUGCUCUGGUAGUUCACCCAAGCGUGCACCUGGAAUUAACGAUCUACGGGUACAUAAAAAUAAUUACUACUUAGCAAGAUGAUGCAGCAAUACAAAAUGAUACGACGAUAAAUGAAGGAUCUUACGUUAUCAAAUAACUGCGUAGCAUCCUUGCCGACACCUUUCAUUAAUUCGUCCACUCCUCCCGGAUGGAAAUCCAUAUAACGCGUAACAUUGAAUACGAUUCCUACAAAGGAAAUCAAAUGUUAAAAAAAA